rnacentral:rRNA from 1 species
UACGAAGGGGGCUAGCGUUGCUCGGAAUGACUGGGCGUAAAGGGCGCGUAGGCGGCUCAUACAGUCAGAUGUGAAAUUCCUGGGCUUAACCUGGGGGCUGCAUUUGAUACGUGUGGGCUUGAGUGGGGAAGAGGGUCGUGGAAUUCCCAGUGUAGAGGUGAAAUUCGUAGAUAUUGGGAAGAACACCGGUGGCGAAGGCGGCGACCUGGUCCUUGACUGACGCUGAGGCGCGAAAGCUAGGGGAGCAAACGGG